AGCAGCCUAUGGCUUUGCAGCAGGAGCCAUUGCUUUCCUGGUCAUUAAUUCUUUCCUCAUGUUGAUUGCUGCAUAUCGGAACCUCGUUUUGCUAUUUCUCACUGCAAUCAUGGAGGUUUUACUGGUCUGUUUCCUGCUGUCUACCCUGCAGCGACUGCCAUACCAACUUGAAAUGGCCAUGCUUGCAGUCUUUUCAAUGAUCUGCAUGUACGGAGCACUGGCAUCAUUGGUUAACUGCAUGUUCUCACAGACACUGCUACCUAUGGGUCCAGCCUUAUUAAAGG